AAUGAACGCUGGCGGCGUGCCUAAUACAUGCAAGUCGAGCGAACAGACGAGGAGCUUGCUCCUCUGAUGUUAGCGGCGGACGGGUGAGUAACACGUGGAUAACCUACCUAUAAGACUGGGAUAACUUCGGGAAACCGGAGCUAAUACCGGAUAACAUGUUGAACCGCAUGGUUCAACAGUGAAAGACAGUCUUGCUGUCACUUAUAGAUGGAUCCGCGCCGCAUUAGCUAGUUGGUAAGGUAACGGCUUACCAAGGCAACGAUGCGUAGCCGACCUGAGAGGGUGAUCGGCCACACUGGAACUGAGACACGGUCCAGACUCCUACGGGAGGCAGCAGUAGGGAAUCUUCCGCAAUGGGCGAAAGCCUGACGGAGCAACGCCGCGUGAGUGAAGAAGGUCUUCGGAUCGUAAAACUCUGUUAUUAGGGAAGAACAAAUGUGUAAGUAACUAUGCACGUCUUGACGGUACCUAAUCAGAAAGCCACGGCUAACUACGUG
rnacentral:rRNA from 1 species